rnacentral:sRNA from 1 species
CACAAAUCUGAACAUUGAUUAAGCCUCACGCUCACCUUGGCCACAAAGUUGACAAUCGCUUAUAUUCACAGAUAUUAGAUUCGGAAGUACAGAGCACUGACAGCAUUAAUGCUGUUGUGGACAAUUUGGACCGUCUAAUAAAACAGUUUGAUCAAGGUAUAGAGAUCAAACAAGUGCACAGGGACGCAUCCAAAAUUUCCAAGACUCUAUUGCAUUACAGUUUAAAUUCCAGAACUUACAUGGAAGACAUUCAGAAACAGAUUCCAUUUAAUGG